UGAAACAGGAAACUGGCACAAAACCGUUAAAGGGCUGUUAGUAACGUUUCUUUUAGGAUAUGGUAAAAUAGUGUGCCUUAAAGUGAAAAAUAUGUACGUUUACUUUGCCAAUUAGUACCUGGCUGACAGUGGCACAAGGCUCUGUAGGUGCUGAUCAAGGUAUUCCUGUCUCUUGGUGAGAGCACCUAACCACUGCCGCCGUAACCGUUCCAGGUCUCUUUCCUGUCCACCAAACAACUCAGUUAAUCACUCCAUCUUCUUCUUCAAGUCAGCUACUUCAAAGCCCACUGAUACAGCGAGCACAAUCUCUGCGAUCAGGGGCAUAGUGCCAGAAUCCUGAACUGAGCGCACGUCCACCUGGAUUCUUCUCGA